rnacentral:rRNA from 1 species
AUUGAACGCUGGCGGCAGGCCUAACACAUGCAAGUCGAGCGGAUGAAGGGAGCUUGCUCCUGGAUUCAGCGGCGGACGGGUGAGUAAUGCCUAGGAAUCUGCCUGGUAGUGGGGGAUAACGUCCGGAAACGGGCGCUAAUACUGCAUACGUCCUGAGGGUGAAAGUGGGGGAGCUUCGGACCUCACGCUAUCAGAUGAGCCUAGGUCGGAUUAGCUAGUUGGUGGGGUAAAGGCCUACCAAGGCGACGAUCCGUAACUGGUCUGAGUGGAUGAUCAGUCACAUUGGAACUGGGACGCGGUCCAGACUACUACGGGAGGCAGCAGAGGGGAAUAGUAGACAGUGGGCGAGAGCCUUAUACAGCGGUGCCGCGUGUGUGAAGAAGGUCUUCGGAUUGUAAAGCACUUUAAGGUAGGAGGAAGGGCAGUAAGUUAAUACCUUGCUGUUUUGACGUUACCAACAGAAUAAGCACCGGCUAACUUCGUG